rnacentral:rRNA from 1 species
CAGCAGCCGCGGUAAUACCGGCGGCCCGAGUGGCGGUCACUAUUAUUUGGCUUAAAGCGUCCGUAGCCGGGGUGGGAAGUCCUCCGGGAAAUCUGGCCGCUUAACGGUCAGAAUGCCGGAGGAUACUCCCAGCCUAGGGAGCGGGAGAGGCCGAGGGGAUUCCCGGAGUAGGGGUGAAAUCCUAUAAUCCCGGGAGGACCACCUGUGGCGAAGGCGCUCGGCUGGAACGCGUCCGACGGUGAGGGACGAAGGCCAGGGGAGCAAACCGGAUUAGAUACCCGGGUAGUCCUGGCGGUAAACGAUGCGGACUUUGUGUCGGACAAGCUAUGAGCUUGUCCGGUGCCGGAGGGAAACCGUUAAGUCCGCCGCCUGGGGAGUACGGCCGCAAGGCUGAAACUUAAAGGAAUUGGCGGG